AAGAGUUUGAUCCUGGCUCAGGACGAACGCUGGCGGCGUGCCUAAUACAUGCAAGUCGAGCGAACGGAUGGGAGCUUGCUCCCUGAAGUUAGCGGCGGACGGGUGAGUAACACGUGGGCAACCUGCCUGUAAGACCGGGAUAACUUGCGGAAACGUGAGCUAAUACCGGAUAAUCUCCAACUUCGCAUGAAGUUGGACUGAAAGACGGCGCAAGCUGUCACUUACAGAUGGGCCCGCGGCGCAUUAGCUAGUUGGUGAGGUAAUGGCUCACCAAGGCAACGAUGCGUAGCCGACCUGAGAGGGUGAUCGGCCACACUGGGACUGAGACACGGCCCAGACUCCUACGGGAGGCAGCAGUAGGGAAUCUUCCGCAAUGGACGCAAGUCUGACGGAGCAACGCCGCGUGAGCGAUGAAGGUCUUCGGAUCGUAAAGCUCUGUUGUCAGGGAAGAACAAGUAUCGGAGUAACUGCCGGUACCUUGACGGUACCUGACCAGAAAGCCACGGCUAACUACGUGCCAGCAGCCGCGGUAAUACGUAGGUGGCAAGCGUUGUCCGGAAUUAUUGGGCGUAAAGCGCGCGCAGGCGGUCCUUUAAGUCUGAUGUGAAAGCCCCCGGCUCAACCGGGGAGGGUCAUUGGAAACUGGGGGACUUGAGUGCAGAAGAGAAGAGCGGAAUUCCACGUGUAGCGGUGAAAUGCGUAGAGAUGUGGAGGAACACCAGUGGCGAAGGCGGCUCUUUGGUCUGUAACUGACGCUGAGGCGCGAAAGCGUGGGGAGCGAACAGGAUUAGAUACCCUGGUAGUCCACGCCGUAAACGAUGAGUGCUAAGUGUUAGAGGGUUUCCGCCCUUUAGUGCUGCAGCAAACGCAUUAAGCACUCCGCCUGGGGAGUACGGCCGCAAGGCUGAAACUCAAAGGAAUUGACGGGGGCCCGCACAAGCGGUGGAGCAUGUGGUUUAAUUCGAAGCAACGCGAAGAACCUUACCAGGUCUUGACAUCCUCUGACCACCCUGGAGACAGGGUUUUCCCCUUCGGGGGACAGAGUGACAGGUGGUGCAUGGUUGUCGUCAGCUCGUGUCGUGAGAUGUUGGGUUAAGUCCCGCAACGAGCGCAACCCUUGAGAUUAGUUGCCAGCAUUCAGUUGGGCACUCUAAUCUGACUGCCGGUGACAAACCGGAGGAAGGUGGGGAUGACGUCAAAUCAUCAUGCCCCUUAUGACCUGGGCUACACACGUGCUACAAUGGAUGGUACAAAGGGCAGCGAAACCGCGAGGUAGAGCGAAUCCCAUAAAGCCAUUCUCAGUUCGGAUUGCAGGCUGCAACUCGCCUGCAUGAAGCCGGAAUCGCUAGUAAUCGCGGAUCAGAAUGCCGCGGUGAAUACGUUCCCGGGCCUUGUACACACCGCCCGUCACACCACGAGAGUUUGCAACACCCGAAGUCGGUGAGGUAACCGCAAGGGGCCAGCCGCCGAAGGUGGGGCAGAUGAUUGGGGUGAAGUCGUAACAAGGUAACC
rnacentral:rRNA from 1 species